rnacentral:rRNA from 1 species
UACGUAGGAUCCGAGCGUUGUCCGGAUUUAUUGGGUUUAAAGGGUGCGCAGGCGGCCCAAUAAGUCAGUGGUGAAAGCCGACAGCUUAACUGUCGAACUGCCAUUGAUACUGUUGGGCUUGAGUAUAGUUGAGGUUGGCGGAAUGUAACAUGUAGCGGUGAAAUGCUUAGAUAUGUUACAGAACACCGAUUGCGAAGGCAGCUGACUAAGCUAUUACUGACGCUCAUGCACGAAAGCGUGGGGAUCAAACAGG